UUUGAAUAUACCUGUCAUUUUCAUAUCUCCUUUUAACUAAACUAAAUAUUUAGAAAUCCUAUAAUUUGUACACUUCUAUUUGUGAAUAAGAUCGAUGAAAUUAAAGCGUAACUAUGCUUUCAAUAAUGGCUUCGAUGUAUUGCUCACCAUUAUGGCGGAUUAACGUCUCUAAGUGAUCGACCUUAAUCACUAAAUGGCAGCCGCGAUUCAGUGGUAGAGCCUUACACAUGACGGACGUUGCAAGCGCUUCUAAGACGUCUAUUGUGAAACGUUUCCAAUAGCAUCGGUUACGACGACGGUGAAAUCCGAAUAGAAAUAUAUAUCGCGUAUCGCUUCAGCCUGACAUGUCUUAAAAUAGAAUCACAAUUUUUCGUUCUUUAAAAAAACAAAAAAAGUCUAUAAAAAUUAUAUGCAAAUAAAAUAGAUAAAUGGAUAAAUGGUUGUACAAAUGUAUAAAACAGAUAUUACAAAUAUACGUAAAUAAAUUAUAUAUUUAUAAAUUGUUUGUUUAAAUAUCUGUUUGUUUAAAUAAAUAAAAGGGAUAUUUACGACUUACAAUGAACGUAGUCCUGUUUUUAGUUUUAAACAAAGCAAAAACGGAUAACAACUUUUUAAAAUGUAAAACUCAACGCAACAGUGGUUUUUUUUAAUUAAUCAAUAACGUUCAAAGUUAAUUAAUUUAGAGUGGUUUGUACAUUUUGUAUGCUCGCCGUAUUUUAACGUUUGAUGUGUAACGUUUGAUGUAGUACUUGAUGCCCGAAAAAUCGAAAAACAAUUAAAUUUGAUCGUUUCGUCGAAUUUACAAGUGUGUAUAUUCGUGUGAAAUCCUAUGUGCUUGUGUAUGCUGAUGUGAAAGGCGGUAAUAUAUUUUUCUUUUUUCGAUUAUUGUUGUCAACUUUUGUGUGGAAUAAAUCAAUUCCGUGAAUAGAAGUGCAAUCAAUACAGCUUACUAUGAAAUGAUAGCACAACAACAGUACAUAUCGCCAUUGACGUCAGCUUCACAAAAUUUCUCGAAUAUCGAGGUUGUCCAUUUGGGUUAAGAAUUUAUUUCCACAAAUAUUGCCACAAGCACGAAUAUCUUAUGGAAAUCCACUGUAUUUCCACUGUAAUUUUUAAUAAUCAGAUUCCAUAUCGUAUGCUACGAUUCGAGGAAAAUCCGCAGCUAAUUAUUAUCUUUGCUGCCUUUAAAUACCAUAAAUAGUCGUCCGUAAAUUUUAAAUGAUUUUCUGUGCCAUACUUAUAUUGUGUAUUUUAGUCUUAAGGUGCGGGUCGUGUUCAAUUAAUUGAAAGUGAUGAAACUGUAAUGGGUCACGAUAGUCAAAUAUUAAAAAUGGUCUCGUUGGCUACAUUUAAAAUCUUUACGAGAUAUAUAUGCAUAGUACGUUGCUACUAGCAACGGGUAGCGAUGAGCAAUAGAGAACAGUAGCUUCCUUAUCUCGUCGUGAUUAUGUACAUACCAGUAAUGCACAGUACUCGUACUGAAUAUCUUACAACAUCUACAUAGAUUUUCAGAUUUGUUUCGAAUAUUACCAGCAUAACCAUGAUAGUAGAAUUCUGUUACAGUAUUAAUUCUAUAGUGCCGUUAUGCAUAAUACAGCCCUAAAAUGUUUCUACAAAUAUACGAAUAUUUUCGUCAGCUACUAUAUUCCAACCAUGGCUUAUUAUGAAAGGAAAUAUAUAACGAAAUUACUUGUUUUUUUUUUUUUAGACUAAAUUAGUUUAAUUUGAAUAAUUUUAGUAAUUGUGUAGGAUCGAACAACAACUUAUCAUUAGCUUCACUCGAGACUUGAUUGCACGUAGCAACGUAAUUGCGUUGGAACUGAGGGUAGAAAACAAUGUCAACCGUUAGACGCGUCUGUCUGGCGAAUGUGUAACGCGUGAAUAAUAGAUGCCGGCAAUCACGUGAACCCUACUUAUAGCUGUUUCGGCUUAUAUCGUAGCAUUCAACCUAGGGUAUAACGAUAAGGAUCAUUAAAAGUUCAAAGAAGUUCGGCUGAUCAGCCUCAUUUUGUUCCAUUUUUUAAUCAAGCGAUGAAUCGACAAAUUGUACAGAUUUCGAUGGUUAUCACAGUUCUCUGGGAAUUUUAAAGCGCGGUUCGUCGAAUUUAGUCGGAUUGGCUACAGACUCUUUUACGAGCAGCUUGAAACUCGAUCUAGUUUCGAGAAAAUGAAAAAUUCGUUUUAUCUCUUUGUUUCCCUGUUCCUUCCUUCCUCUUUUCUUUGCUUUUUACAUUGCGUUAAGACCGGCUAAAUAAUAUUGAUUGCCAUGGACGUUGGCUGGUUUAAAAUCACUGACAUCGACGAUAACAAAAAUAUUUCUGGUCUACGCACUCCAGUGCCCGCACAACUUAUAUUAAAACACCUGAUUUUCCCAUUCUACAGCAACAAAUUUCCUGAUCCUUUACAACCAUGAAGGACUUGUAUGCGAAAAUACUUGCCACGAUCAUCUGUUUGCAGACUAUUUUCGUCACUAUCUUCCCGUUAGGGGCUGCGUCUUUAAGAGGAAACUGUACUGAUCUCGAAGGAAAAGUUGUCUCGCAUGGAAUGAUGUAUGUGCCGGGACCUUCGAUUUGCAGUCAAUGCUUCUGUUACCAUUCGGAGCCAAAAUGGUGCCAGGCUAUCUUCUGUUCACCUCCUUUGAGCUGCAAGAAAUUCCGCAUUGGACGCCGAUGUUGCGAGUUCCAGUGCGUGGAUGAGGUUGACACAGGCUAUUGGUUUGGAUCUGAUGUGGUUAUUGUGAAUCGUUCAUCUAAACUUGAAAAACAUAGUGUAUUAUGGAUGCUGAGUUUAGUGAUAGUAAUUGUAGUAUUUUAAUUUCUCAAUAAAGAUUCCGAUGGCGCUGUGGACAAAAUUCGUAGCUUAUAAACAUCAACGAUUAGUUUCAGCCAUCGGGAAAAGAAGUAGUGUAUGUAUGUAGUGUGUUAACGAAGUAGUAAAACGUAGUGUAAAGAAAGUAGUGUAAAAGUAAAGUAGUGUAAAAUUAGUAGUAGUAUGUAAUUCGCACAAAAAAGUAGAUAUUAGUAUUGAUGUUAUUGUAUUCCAUAUUUGACCUUAAAAUAUGAAUAAAAUCUAAUCAGUCUAAGUA